rnacentral:ncRNA from 1 species
GGAAGCCGGUGAGAGUCCGGCACAGUCGCGCUACUGUGACAUCGCACCUGAUCGGCGCGGUGGAGUCAGAC